AAAGUUCUGCCAACUUUACUCUAGUCCUAUUCUGGACCAGCUAGCUCUCUUAUGAGAGCUCGGCUGGAAAAAUAAAAAUCGCCUGGGUGCUUGGUAGGCAGGCAUGGUUCGAAGAAGAGUGUGCCUAAAUCCUCCAUUGGGUCCCAGUUCCUUCCAUUCUCACUCUCACCCCAUAAUAGCACAUUCAGACUAUGAGACCUCAGAAAAAAAUGAGUGCCAAGUGACAUCUCCAAGUCGCAUGUUCUCUUGUCCUCUGGAGGCUAUCAUUUCUUUUAUAUCUUUUAGUUUUGCCUUCUCCCUUCUGUGUGGACACGUGCACCUUCGUGUUUUCCCCUUUCUUUCAAUACAUCUUCACCUUUUUUGCCAGUCCAAGCCUCAGAAGGUGCUGAUUUCUUUCUCAACUUUCUGCCAACACGUAGAGCACACCUCCCCAGUCCGCCUUCCCCAAGCAGCUAGGGAACCCGUGGCUCUGAACUCUAGUCCUGAAAGGGGGUCCCUAGGUCUCCCCACACCUCUCCGCGGUUUUCCUGCCAGGGCAGAUAGGGUCAGAAAACCAAGGUCCGGGGACAUAGUGACAGAGAGAAGCCAGGGAAAAACUGUUCCAAGCCCUUCCCAGAUCUUUUAGGUAUUUUAGAAACCUCAGACCCUUUUCUUCUGAUCUUUACACUUCCCUUCUCUUAUGAAUACCUAAGAACCAGGCAGGCAAAGAGAGAGGGACCCCAGGGAAAAAGGAACAAGAGACUCCCAGAUUAUGUAUUUAUUUUAUGUAAAGAAACGUUACAUAUGUAAUUUUAGAUUUUCUUCCAAAUUAGAGUUCUGAGGCUUUAGAAAACCUAUUUUUAACACCUUCUUCUCUCCUACGGUCUUGAUUGCCUAAAUUGCUUCUAAUUGGGUGGCACACAUUACUGAAAACGAAGGACGCAUGACAAGCAGCCUUCAUUCUUACGCAGAUUUAGAUAAUGUGUUCAAAUGAAUAUCUUUUCUGAUAAGAAACUAGAACAACAGUAACCGUAGCAGUUUUCUUCUGGGCUUGAGCAGUAGGUGGACAAUCAUACAGUCCUGCGAACCCACACAUUUUAGAGGGUGUGCCUACGGUAUGCAGUACUAGUGUGCUUCCACCUCUAAUGUAGCACACAAAGGGAACAUACUUGUGUUCUGGUUGGUUUUCAAACAGCUUUUCAUCCUCUUCAGCAAGCAUAAAUGUUUUUAUUUUUGUUGUUGGGUUUUUUUUUUCUUUUUAGUUUCUUUUUAUUUGUAAGCCACUUAAAAAUAUGUAUGUUAUCCUUUUGCUCAAGGCUUUGGCGGGGCCCUGAGAGCUGUUGAUGCGGGCGUGCUAGCUCCCGACAGCAGCGAGCAAAGUUCAUUGCCAUACUGAGGGGAGCUUAGCUUUUCACUAAGUUAGUCCAGCUGCUGGGGUGUUCUGGGGGCGAGAGUUUCUUGGACCACUGACAGGUGUGAUCCUAACUUGAGUUUGGCUGAGGGCAAGUGUCAGGGCUGAGGGCUGUUUGUCUGUAAGAUGCUUAUGCGGGCUAGGAGCUGGAUUACCUUGCAGGCUGAGGGAUCCCCGAAGUUCUUUGAAACUGGUAUGUACCUACCAUUGAACAAAGGGCAAAUGAAAACUCAUCUUACUGUCUGGCCAAACUGCACCUUCAUUGUUUCAUCUUCUCUGAAAUAAGGCUGGCAGCGGAUUAUAAAUAAAGUUAUUCUUUUUCUUUUCUUUUUUCUUUUUCUUUUCUCUCUUUUUUUUUUUUUUAGGCCAGAGGAAAUUCGCUGAGAGUCAAUCUCCUUUCGGCACUGUUAUUUUAUUUUACUUUUCCCGACAUUCUUUGAGACUCCCUCUCCCUCAAAGGCAUGGAGAAGCACUUUCAGGCUACUUUAAAUGGUGUCACGGGAGAAAGUCCUAGGUGAGGCAAGAGCACUUUGGGGGAAUGGAUCUGUGGAUUGAUCCAUCGAUGGGAACCCUCUCCUGGGCUGCCGCCUGCGGAGCUGGGCUGGGCAGCGGCCUGGGAGGUGAGGGGUCAGUUCCACAGUCUGUUGUGCGCACGCUCUACCCACGCUGUACCCACACUGUACCCAUCAACAUAAGGAAACCUCGAUGUUUGCGAAAGCUUAUGUUCCUGCAUAAAGGCCCACCACCAGAUACCUUCGCAGUUUGCUCUGCCCCUUAGAAUGCGUUAUUUGACCCGUAAAAGAAGAUUUAGGCUGAGAUUCUCUGUGGUGGUGGUCCCAGACGGUCCCAGCAUCAGACGUGCGCCUCGCUCCUGUUCACCCCACACUAACGAAAAUUUCAGGCUGUCUUUGGAAGAUCUCUUCCUGUGCACUCGUCCCUCUACUCGUCCCUUGACAGGAAAGAGGUGGCCCAAAGAAGCGUUUAUCCCGAAUGAAGAGUGUGGGGAUCGAGAGGGUCGGGAAUCAGGAGAUUUGUAGAGUGUCAGUAAGCUCCCUCGGAUGUAGGCAAAGCUUUCCCUAGGAGUUGUUAAAAAGCUGCGCUGAGGGGGCGGGGUGCGGACAACCUCAACGCUUCUACUUAAGAAAUGUAACUGAGGGUUCAAACUCGGUCUUUGGGACUGCAAAAAACAAACAAACAAAAAGGCUCCCACAGUUGUUAGGACAGGAAAUCGUUAGUAAAACAGUGUCAGGUGGAGACUGUGACAGUCACUCCAAGAACUCCAGAAAGGGGCUUUCUAUGCCUUUCCUUUUUAGAAAGAGAAAGAGAAAAAAGAAAGGACUGGAGAGAAGACAGACAGGGGGGAGAGGGAGAGCGCAGAGGAGAAAGGAAGAAGAGGGGGUAUUUAGCAAGUUAAGAGGUUAAAUAUUUGAACAGAUUCGUAAAUAUAUAGACAGCCCUUGCAAUUUGGGAUGUGUAAUAAUGCCUUUUGUGGUGCUGUCUGGCUGGGAGGGUAAGCAGAGGACCCUCCUGCCACCUUUUUCACUGGGAAACCAACUGGAAAGCUCCUGGGUUCACAAAACAAAAUCAGUUCCCCUCUUUUGGAGGAAGAGAAAAAUGCUGUCUCUACUAGCAUUCAUACUAUUAUUUAAAAAUAAUAAUAAUAAAAAAACAAGAGAAAGCAAAUGAACAUCUAAUUUCUUAGGGAUUUUUUUUUUUUUUUCAGUUUAGAAAGCUAUCUUCAGGCUGAAGUCAUUUCGAAGUAUUGUUUGAGCGAAUAUGCUACAGCACUCAAUUAUCUAAGAUGCAUCAAUUAUUUUUUUGACCACUUUUGUAACAAGAAUGUAUUGAUCUGGGUCUUAGAAACCCUUGGCACUCUGACAUGUUUCAUAGUUGCCGAAUAGGGUGGGUUUCUUCUUCCGACAAUUGUACUGAGCGCUGCUGAUGGAAUCUGUCCUCUGCCUGUGCCCAUGGGCAGAGGACACAGGCUGUGGGUGUGUCCCGCCCACAGAUGCUCGCGCGCGCGUGUGUCUGUGUAUGCAUUGUACACACGUAUUCUCCACUGUGUGCCCCAACUGGAGCCAUUUUCCUCCUUUCAGUGCCCUGCGUGUAUUAGUAAUAUGCAAGUAGAAUCAUUUUGCUUGAGUAUAUUUUGGAGGGGGAGGGGAUAAACCAUUUAAUUCUGCUCUAGUAUUUCCUCUGCAAAAUUUUCACUGCGUGUGAAUUCGCGUGAAUGCCUUUUCUGAGGUGUGUGUUAUGUGUGUGUGCUUGUGUGUUGGGGAAGAUCAUUGGCUCAUCAGCGGGUGUGUGCCUCUGCGUGUGGGAAGCAUGCAGACUCUGAGGACCUUGGGAGCAGCCCACGUUCUCUCCGGGUGCCCUGUCUGUAUCUGCCCUUGUGUUUUGUGUUCUUGAUGUGAUUAUGUGCGUUAUUUACAUAUGUGCUUCUAUUCUUUUGCCUUCGUGUAGUGCCUUUCUCUACAGUCCACACAUUUCACAUAUAUUCUUUUAUCUUUUGGCAAAGUGCCUUUUUUGUUCCUCGAAGAAUAUUUAUUGAUGUGAUAAUCUGAAAUGAAAAGUGGUCUCCCAUGAAGGAGAUGGAAGAGAAAGGAGCGUUCAUCUUUCUUAAUAGACGGGGCAGUGCCAGUUGACUGGAUCACAGGGUUUCUCUGCACUUUCUGCGUGAGUCUGCGCGUGGGGGUGGGGGCGGGGACGGCUGAAGGAGGACGGAAAAAGACCUUUUAAGCAGAACAAAGAUAGGACAUCGCGCCUCCUUGCGUCCUGAUUGCAUACUGCAUCUACCCGGCGGUCCCGACUUUAGAAAUCAGAAUUCAGAGAUUUUCUCCUUAAACCAUUCAGAGGCCGCCUCUCAGACCCAGCCCUCGGACCUCAGCCAAUCACCGGACGCCAUGCAAAUCACCUCUUUCGCCCUCCAAACCGAGGUCCAGUUUAAAGGCAGUUUCUGCCGCCCCGCCCAUCUUAGUCCUUCCCUUCCCCCUUCCUCCUCCGCCUCCCACACAGCAGCUGCUUGGGAAGAGGGCAGUGCUGGGUGCUUCAUGCAUAUGCAGACAGAUCUAUCCUCCCCCUCCACCCCAUCCUCUCUCCCUCUCCUCCCGCCCAUCUUUGCCUCGCUCCCCAGCCCCCACCCUGCCGCCCACUAGUAUCUCCAAGUCUCCUCGACGUAUAGUUCCCAGCUCUGGUACAUGCAGCUGCUACCCACAAGUAUGCCCAGGCGCUCCAUAGGAGCCAGAGAGGGAGAGGGAGGAAACCUCUGCUUUUGAAAUCCGCUCGAAGGUCAAGUUUGUGGUUUACGGAGCGGGAGCCCGAGACACUGAAAAUGCUGUUGAGUCUGCAAGAAGACGGUGCAUGCAGGAAGAUGGUUUUGCCUUGGUUUUCUUCCACUAAACAGCAGAUUAAUUUCUCUGAAACACACAAAGUACCGGUCAUGUUUAAAGGCAGGGUGAUGAUAGAUGGUUCCGCGUGCGCACAGUUACAGAGCAUAUUUGUCUUGCACAUCAAGGUUCCUUAAGCCACAAAGCACUGGAGAGGAGAUCAAAGGGUGUUAUAUCUUCUUAGGAGCAGGAAGGUUGGGAAGUGCGGCUAGCAGUACGACCAGUGGCGCUGGACCUGCUUGAGGUGGGAAGUUAAAUGGUUCAGAUUGAGCUCUAGUUACUGAUGGCUCCCACUGGUUCCAUGUAUGGCAAAUGCAUCACCAACAAAAGCAUCCUGAACACUUGGAAGGAUUCACAGUAAUGACGUAAUGACGCCUAUACCUGGUCUACCUUUAGGCUUUUGCUUCCUUUGGCAUAUUUCUCCAUGGUUCCCUGAGAAGCUGACAGCUGGGCAGUAUAGACCGAGUGCUGAAUUUGUCCACAGUUAUUUAAAUGUCUGCUUCAGAGUUCUAGAGUCAGAUAGGGAUGGAUUCCUGCCUGCUAAGAACUUCGUGUGGAUUUAUUUUAAAGAGCUCUCAUCUUCUCAUGGCUGCUUGUAAGCUCGUUUGUCUUGGCAACAAUCCAUCAGGAGGAAUACUGAUGAGAUGCCCUCUCCUUCCCGGUGGGCUUCAGAGUGCGCUGGAGGACAAACCUAGCUGUGAAAUGUGGCUAACACCAAGAUUAAGGGCCUGCUGUGAUGUAAUACAGUUGAUCAGUCAAACAGGCCUCAGUUUUAUUUUAGGUUUGUAUCUGUUUGCUAUCCAUGGGCCUUGGAGUGUCAUCCCCAGUCUGGGCUGUUAAUAGCAUCUGUGUCUUCUAACUGUUCAAGUACGGACAUACUUAGAAAAGAAACACUGGGAGUUGACUUUGUGUAAAUUCUUAAGUAAAGGUUAUGAAGUCUAUAAAUCAAGAGAUGUAAAUGUCGCAUUUUGGCUUUAAGGCUCUAGGCCACCUUGGGAAAAAAAAAAGUCCACCUGUAGCAUAAAGUCAUCCUUUACCAAAGAGCAGAAGAGUACACACACCACUGUUUUUGAUUUUAAGAUUCCUCCACUAAAAAGCACUUUUUUUUCCUGCUGCCACAAAUUCCACUCAUUAAUCAUGCCAAAUGUAUUGGCCACAGCAUCUACUAUCUUCCAGGCUAAGCUAACUGUAAUGAUUCCAAACUAGCGUUUUCUAGUGUUAGUGAUGGUUUUGAGGAAGGGCUGAUUGCCCCACACAGGUUCAUAUACGGCCCUCCAUUCAAAUAGGUAAUUUAGAAUGACCCCCAUUUUGUCCCUAAUGCUGCAAUUGUCUUCAUAAGCACAUCCAAGCUAAGUCACCCACCCAGAGACUGAGUGAUAGCAGUUCUCCCUUUCAGAGCUCUGCUUCUGCUAUAAAUGAGCUAAUAAGUCUUAGUACCAACACUUGAUCCCUAAUAAAAAAAUGAAAAGAAGAUUUAAAAAAAAAGAGCAGAAACAUCUUUUCAGGUUCUACCAAUCCAUGAUCAUGGAUUAAACAUUUUCUCUUCUAGGCAGUCUUUUAAAAUGAGAUUCUGCUCAAGAGUGUGUUACAGUAGCCUGCUAUAAAUUGGUGGCUCUGGCUUUUUAAACUCUGGUUCUUUCUCCUGUAAAGGGGUAUAAAUGAGCACCUUAUCAUCCCACUGAAAUAAUGACAACUCAGAGCCAGUACCACAUUCACAAGUGAGGAGAGUCCCAGCAUGGGCUUGACUCAGCACUACCUGACCAGGCUGCUUAAUGCGCAGGUGAAUGCCACUGCCCCUAGGAAUUACAUGUAGAGGUGCCCAGAGCUUGUGUAAAGUUCUCUGUGCCAUUUGAAAAAGGUACUUGGAGAAAAGAUAGGCUGGUUUUUAAUUUUAAUGUUUUACUCAUUGGUUUAAGUACAUUUAUGGUUUGCUUUGCAAAAUGUCAAUAGAUACCCCAAGUGGAUAACAUUUAAAAGAGAUUGAAUUCCCUGUAUUUACUCUAAUACCAUGUAAAAUAUGUGGUCAUCAAGGCCUACAGGUUCAUUGGCUAAGAGCUCAGUCAAAUGAUUAUUCAAAGCAAUGAGCUGUCUCUUCUGUUUCUCUCUUUCUCUCACAUUUUCACCGACUAGGAUUCCAGCAAGUUAUAGCUGACAGUUUUAUGCAGUUAGCGUGGGUUCCAAAUGGUGCUUCUAGCUACGCAGUGUUUAAAGGCUGCAUUGAGGUGUUAUCUGCCACCUGCUGACAUAGAGUUCAUUAAAAAAUAGUUUUAAAUAACACUGGGCAGUUGAAUAUUAUAUACUCAAUAAUCAAAACACUUUCACAUACAUUAUCCCAUUUCUUGUAAAUCUUCACACAAUCUUAUGACUCGUGUCAGUGUAACAAUUAUUAUCUUUAUUUUAUACUGAAGUCUAAUGAAGAUUAGGCAUAUUUUAGGUAGAGAUUAGAUGAAUGAAAACAUGUGAAGUGCUUGGAGAAAAUACUACUUAGCACAAAGGGAGUGCUUCACAUGUUUUAACUCAUUUAAUCUGUACUGCAUCUAUAGGAGACAGAUUUUGUCAUCCUCAGUAAGUGAAACUACAGAACAAUAAAUUAAUCUGCACAAAGUUAACACUGAGUGGUAGAAUCCGAUAAGAAUUCACAGGCCCCUGCCUAACCUCCUCGAUUUCCUGCUGAUCAAGAACAUGGGUCUCCUAGCACCUUGUCAAACCUUUCUACUUUGCACACUGUUGGAUUGUCUCUCAUUUCUUCUGUUAUAUUUCAUACAAUAUUUUACACUGUUUUAUAUACCUUCUACAUUAUGUAAUUUGAAUUUUCUUAGUCCUGGGAAGAGAGGAAAAUUCCUUCUAUACCUGCACUGUAUCAUAUGUCUUGAAAUUUGUCAAACAUAAGGGGAACUAGUUAAGAUGUAUUGAGUUGAGUAAAAAAUUGUAAACUCUAAGAACAAUAUAAACCUACAAAUUUAUAAGUAGAAUUUUUUCAAUAAAGAAUUAGUAUCAGAAGGAGGAGACUGUAAGCUUAGAUUUUUUUUUUCAAAACCUACUUUAUUUAGGGCUCUUAAACUCUUCCACCCCUCUUCUAGUUCACUGACCAGAGGUAGGGAGAAAAGAAAGUUCGUAGGAAAAGCGUGCUGUGGACUGGUUUAGAAGUAGUUCCUUGGAGGCAAUUCCACUUUUUGUUGGCAGGAUACCAGCAGUUCAGUAGCAAAUAACAAACAAACAUAAAUCAGUAGUGGCACAGGAUAUAGCAGAAACACCAAGGCUCUGCUGAAUUCAAACUAGUAAGCAGAAGUGGCCAGAAUCUGCAGGAAUACCAUGAGUAGUUCUUUGGCAAGUUUCUCUCUACAAAAGUGAAGGCCAACGAAGACCAGUGAAGACCAAGGAAACAUUGCAAGAACAUCUCACUGUUUGUGGGGUUCCAUUUGUAUUAUCUUUUAACAUCAUAUUCCUUCUCAAGUGUCUGGUUUCAGCAAAACAUUUCCUGUCCUCUCAAAAGACAGCUUCCAAAAAACAAAAAAAAACAACAAAAAAAAAACAUCAGCUGACACAACUGAGUCAUUAAAUAAACCAGAAAUUUCCACUUCAGGAGACUGUUUAAACCAAACAGGGAGAAAGAUGGAUUACUCUUGUGGAGAAAAGCAAGAAGACAAAGUCAGCAAUGCUUCCUAGAGCUCUUUCUAGUGCCAGACAUUAUCCAUGGAUCAACCCAUUAUUUCCUUACAAAAAACAUGCUGGGAUUAUCUUCACGUAUGACUGGGAGGUGGAGCACAGAGUUUAUAUGACCAACUCAAUAGUAAAUAUAAAAGGAGAAGAACAAAUAGCAAUGUGCACUGCCCAGUAGCUUCACUCCUGCCCAGAGACUGAGAUUUUUCUAGUUUAUAGUUUGAGUCUUUUCAUAUUUUGUUUGUUGUUCUUGUUCUUUGUGUUCUACUCUACCUAUGUGUCGCUUCCUAGGUGGUGUUUGCAUGCUACCAUGAAGAUCUUUCUCAGCAUGUUAUUCUGCCAUAGUGUAGUGUUUUGAGUUUUCCCUAAGUAUUCAUAUGUUGAAUAUUUAUGUCCAUUUAACAUGCUGAGAAGGAGGAAACAUAAUUUGGCUAUAAUGAUUAGAGAUGCAUUAUUUGGAAGGUGAUUAGGAUUAGAUAAACUCAUCAGGAUGGUAUUACAAUAUUUUUAUAUAUAAAUCCCUGCAGAAAGGUUUCACGCUACGUGCCCCAACUUCUGGGUUCCCAAAUGAAAGACACACACUCAGCCGUUAUAUUUUGAUAUGCCUUAACCAGCACAGUGGCUGGGCCACUUCCUAACCUCCACAUGUUAACCUCCUGUGAAUAAUUCCAAGUUCUUUCUGUUCUAUAUUCUAUCUUGGCAGUCCUUGAUCCAGAGGGUUGCCCAACGCCUUCCCAAUUCCUCUCCUGGUUCCUUCACAUUGGUGAUGCCUCCACUUCCUCCACUCUUCUCAGACAUGGAGUUUCUCUUCUACUUCUUCUCCCUGCAUGGUGGAUCUUCUUCUUCCUCUUUCCUCUCUCCCCCAAGCCCAGGAAUACUAAAUAUCUAGCCUCUGUUUACCAUGCCCAAACGUUGGAUGCCAGCAUCUUUAUUUACCAAUCAGGACCAACUAGGGGCAGGGUCCCUCAGUUUGGGAGAAUGUAAUUAGCAUUCCUAAUACAAGUAGCUACAGCAUGGAAUCCCCAUAACUGAACUGUUGGGACUUUGGAAGGAAAGAGACCAAAAACAUGCCUCCCAAUCUCUUGAGUUGUAAUAUUUUGCAUCUAGUCAGGAUUCCUCCAGCAAGAAAAUAUCAGAUGCAGCCCCUUAACCUUAUACCUUCAAGACUGUAAGCCACAAUAAAUUUAUUUCUUCAUGAAGUAGCCUGACAAAAGUAUUUUUUGAUAGUAAUAAAUAAUAACAGAUGCAUCCUUCUUUCUCUAGCAUUCAAAUGUUGCUUUCUGUUUUUGGGUUAUGUGGUCAUCUAUACCACAGCCCACUUUAUGUUUUUAUCAUCAUUUCAGCCUCCUUCCCAGUACUUUAGUGUCUUUGUGGCUUUACUCAUGUUGCUCACUGCUUGGAAUGCUGUUCCUCUCCUUUCUACCUGGGGAAUCACAUUCAUCCUACAUAAUAAAAUUCAAGUGCAUUUCUGCUUGAAACGUUCUAUAACCAUACAGAUAGAAUUAAUCACCUUGUGGAUAUAUACUUUAUUUUUUGCCAGCAGCAACAACUAAUUUCUAGUGAAUGUUUAUGGACUACAAUUAAGGUAUCACUGGUGAAGAAAACCAAAUUCAAAAGCUUUCUAAGACUCUCCUAAGAAUACUUGAUCAUGCAAUUUUAGAUGAACUUGAUUCUCAAACUCAUAAACGUUCCCACUCUGCUUUAACUUCCUUUACUGGCCUACAGAGUUUGCACGUUUUUAUCUUGUUUCAAUACUAGUAAGCUGAUAGCUGCUGAGGAAGAAUAUUUUGCAUUCUUAAUAUGCAGCAUAAUAUGUGAAAUGCAAAAAACAAACAAAUGAACAAAGCAAAACAAAACACACAAAGCACCCCCCACCUAUGGGAACUCAGCAAAAUAACUGAAUGGGAACCACAUACUGCCUGUUUCUGGGGCUGCGCAUCUCUCACCCAGGCUGUUGUUUCCCACACCACAGGUCAAUGAUGCACUGCUUUACUGUAUCCUCAUACUUGAUUGACUUCUACAGUGGUUACUCAUAAGACUGAUCAGCUUGACGACUGUUUUCUGUAGGAGUCUUUGCUCGGCAGACAUGACUGGAAAAUGUCAGUCGUGAUGUAUUCCGCAACCAUAGUGAUACAAGCACUGUCAUCUGUUUUCAGUUUCUGAGUGGCAUCAGAAUUGGCUGAAAUUUGAUUAUUUUUUUUCCCAAUGGGAACGAACUUCAAUAUCUCACUCUCUGAAUGCUUCCUUCUCUCUUCAGAAGAACUCUAAAGCUUCACAGAAGUCCUUUGCAGGAGGUCCUUUCCUUCUUUUGGAGGAAGUUUCCUUUUGCACAGGACCCCUGUGCCCCAUGUCCACUGGGCUUUGGAACUGUUACCUGUCACCAUGUUUUACUGCACAGACUUGUAGUCUGAGGUGAUCCUUCAAGUAAGAAUGUUUUUUUUUUCAUAACUCCUAUCAUGGUGUUCAUCCUUGCAUUCCACACACCAUCAUCUCCUUUGCAUGUUGUGCUGAAGAGCAUCUCUCUCAGAAUCCACUGUCCUGAAUUUGACCCCUGUAGAUUCACCCACAGGGGCCAGGCAUCUUUCCUUUCCCUGGUCCCAAACAAAGGAUCUAUUCUCUUUUCUACUCUGGUAAUAGAGCUUGUUAUUGAAGCACCAGGACCAUAAAAACGUGAUGUCUGCUUCCUUUCAGAAUGUGGCAAGAGAAGCACCUCCCCUUCUUCAUGAAAAUCCUUUUUCCAAAGGACAGAAUAGGUCGCUUCAUGACAUCUUCAUGUUAAAGUGGCACUAACAGAGCACCACUAAGUCUUUAGCAAGUCCUUCUGCUGGGUAGUUCUUCAUUGCAAUAUCCUGUUUAAAAACAAAAAAACCAAAACACCCAGGCAUAGCUUAAUUGUGUAUAUAAGUGACAGUUUUUCUCCACGUGCUAUCAUUGUGCUGCCAUUGUUCAAUUCUUGAAUUCUGGUUUUCAGAGCCACCAGCCCAGUUGUUUUACUACUCCCAAAGAGAACAAAUAUUUAUACUUGAAAAUAGAUUUGAUUUUGUAAAAAAAAAAAAAAAACAAAAAACAAAAAACAAAAAACAAAAAAAAAACCAACCCCCCCAAAACCCAGUGUUACUUGGCUUAGUGUUCAGAGUAAAAUCAGUGUGAAAAGCCGAGUUUGUAACAAAAGAAGUAAAGCUAUCAAGUAAUGGCAUUGAUUUUGUGAGUUGUGCUGAGUCUAAAAAGGGGUUUCCAAUGACAUCAUCUGUGAGUUAGUCUUAGGUAGUAUGUCUUUCCCAAUUGUGAAUAGACGAGAAAGACACAAAAUGAAGAACAAAUACUACAGUAUAUCUGUGACCAGUCAGUUUUGCUCCUAUUCUGUGUAGGCAAAACUAGCAGGGUAGGCUCAAAUAUCCUGAAGAAAGUAUUUAGUGGUGAACUAAUGAUUCUCAAAUGUGUUACAGCACAACCCUCAAGAGUUGUCAGUAAAACCAGAUUUGAGAGCACUGGUGUGGAUCCUGAGAAUCAGCAUUUCACAUCUGUUCCUAGGUGUUAAGCCAGAGGCCCCUCUGAGUACUGAGGCCCUGGACCCUCUGAAUAGCCUUACUAAACAAGUUACACUUUGGUUUGCACAAUAAGCUAUGUGUGCGUUUGCUUGUUUUUUUGUUUACUUGUGCUGAUGUGUAUAUGAAUUUAUCUUUAGAAGAAGGAUGUUCAUGGCUGAAUAAAUAACAAAACUGCACUGUUUUUCCAUA